AUUGAACGCUGGCGGCAGGCCUAACACAUGCAAGUCGAGCGGAUGAAGGGAGCUUGCUCCUGGAUUCAGCGGCGGACGGGUGAGUAAUGCCUAGGAAUCUGCCUGGUAGUGGGGGAUAACGUCCGGAAACGGGCGCUAAUACCGCAUACGUCCUGAGGGAGAAAGUGGGGGAUCUUCGGACCUCACGCUAUCAGAUGAGCCUAGGUCGGAUUAGCUAGUUGGUGGGGUAAAGGCCUACCAAGGCGACGAUCCGUAACUGGUCUGAGAGGAUGAUCAGUCACACUGGAACUGAGACACGGUCCAGACUCCUACGGGAGGCAGCAGUGGGGAAUAUUGGACAAUGGGCGAAAGCCUAAUCCAGCCAUGCCGCGUGUGUGAAGAAGGUCUUCGGAUUGUAAAGCACUUUAAGUUGGGAGGAAGGGCAGUAAGCUAAUACCUUGCUGUUUUGACGUUACCAACAGAAUAAGCACCGGCUAACUUCGUG
rnacentral:rRNA from 1 species